rnacentral:lncRNA from 1 species
CACCCAUUCAUGUCACCAGCAACAACCUUGUUGUCGUUACUAUAGAAACUGUUCUCAUUCGAAUACACCCCCUUGAAGCUUGUCGGGUUCUGAGUAAACAUCUUUUGUUGAUCUUCAAAACAAGAAGAAGAAGAAGAAACAGAGUUCAGAGCAAGAACAUCAAGCCAUGAUGAAAAGUUUGCAGCAGAAACAGGGGAAGAACCCUCACCAAAACUCAACCCCUCAAAGGAAUUCAUCAACUCGGCUAGCACAUCCUUGUAGCUCGCAAGGCUAGCAUGCCUACCAUAGCGAGAAACAGGACACACCCCAUUUCGGGGUUUCAACGGAGACAGCGGCGG